rnacentral:tRNA from 1 species
GCUCCAGCGUAGUUAAAUCCUAUCGCUGGCUUUCAUUCUCAAAAUCCCCCGCCCCAAGGCGUGCCGGUUCGAUUCCGGCCCUGGGCACCA